rnacentral:lncRNA from 1 species
AUUAUUCCCAUUUUUCAAAGGAGGGAGGAAGUAGAUAAUCAAAUAGCUCUAAACUGUUCAAAAGUUCUCAAAUGAUUAAUAAAUAAAGUUCAAAAUCAUUAUUAAGAAUAUAAAGUGGUACACAGUCAAGUUCCUACAGACGUUUCUGGCUUUAUUUCUGCCACCCUUGUCUCUGAGCUCCCUCCAUCAACACUUUCUCUAACAAAAUGAAAGAAUAUCUGAAUUUAAACGAAAUGACUCCUCAUUCUAGAACCCCAGUGUCAAGUCUACAUCAUGAUCUCCAUGACUGCAUUCAUAGUGAUUCCAUGGCCUGAAACAUAUUGGACCCAAUAUGUGUUGAAAAUGGAAUUUCCAAUAUUUCAAGAUGCAGUUCAAAGGUCACUGCUUCUCAGAAGAAUACCUGCUUCCUCUGUGAGACCUCAAGAACAUGGGUUAGCAGGAUGA